rnacentral:rRNA from 1 species
UACGAGGGGGGCAAGCGUUGUUCGGAAUUACUGGGCGUAAAGCGUGCGCAGGCGGUUCGUUGUGUCGGUGGUGAAAUCCCCGGGCUUAACCUGGGAACUGCAUUGGUGACUGGCAGGCUUUGAGUGUGGCAGAGGGAGGUAGAAUUCCACGUGUAGCAGUGAAAUGCGUAGAGAUGUGGAGGAAUACCGAUGGCGAAGGCAGCCUCCUGGGCCAACACUGACGCUCAUGCACGAAAGCGUGGGGAGCAAACAGG